AGAACGAACGCUGGCGGCAUGCCUAACACAUGCAAGUCGAACGAGACCUUCGGGUCUAGUGGCGCACGGGUGCGUAACGCGUGGGAAUCUGCCCUUAGGUACGGAAUAACAGUGAGAAAUUACUGCUAAUACCGUAUGAUGUCUUCGGACCAAAGAUUUAUCGCCUAGGGAUGAGCCCGCGUUGGAUUAGCUAGUUGGUGGGGUAAAGGCCUACCAAGGCGACGAUCCAUAGCUGGUCUGAGAGGAUGAUCAGCCACACUGGGACUGAGACACGGCCCAGACUCCUACGGGAGGCAGCAGUGGGGAAUAUUGGACAAUGGGCGAAAGCCUGAUCCAGCAAUGCCGCGUGAGUGAAGAAGGCCUUGGGUUGUAAAGCUCUUUUACCCGGGAAGAUAAUGACUGUACGGGAGAAUAAGCCCGGCUAACUCCGCGCCAGCAGCCGC
rnacentral:rRNA from 1 species